rnacentral:rRNA from 1 species
GCAGUCGAGGGGCAGCGCAGUGUAGCAAUACAUGGGCGGCGACCGGCAAACGGGUGCGGAACACGUACGCAACCUUCCUUCAAAUGGGGGAUAGCCCACCGAAAGGUGGAUUAAUACCCCGUAAGAUUUUCUGGUGGCAUCACUGGAUUAUUAUAGCUCCGGCGUUUGAAGAUGGGCGUGCGCCUGAUUAGGUAGUUGGCGGAGUAACAGCCCACCAAGCCUACGAUCAGUAACUGGUGUGAGAGCACGACCAGUCACACGGGCACUGAGACACGGGCCCGACUCCUACGGGAGGCAGCAGUAAGGAAUAUUGGUCAAUGGACGCAAGUCUGAACCAGCCAUGCCGCGUGGAGGAUGAAGGUCCUCUGGAUUGUAAACUUCUUUUAUCGGAGAAGAAACCCUAGCAUUCUUGUUGGGUUGACGGUACCCGAUGAAUAAGCACCGGCUAACUCCGUGCCAGCAGCCGCGGUAAUACGGAGGGUGCAAGCGUUAUCCGGAUUCACUGGGUUUAAAGGGAGCGUAGGUGGGAUGGUAAGUCAGUGGUGAAAUCUCCGGGCUUAACUCGGAAACUGCCGUUGAUACUAUCAUUCUUGAAUAUUGUGGAGGUAAGCGGAAUAUGUCAUGUAGCGGUGAAAUGCUUAGAUAUGACAUAGAACACCGAUAGCGAAGGCAGCUUGCUACACAAUUAUUGACACUGAGGCUCGAAAGCGUGGGGAUCAAACAGGAUUAGAUACCCUGGUAGUCCACGCCCUAAACGAUGGAUACUCGACAUACGCGAUACACAGUGUGUGUCUGAGCGAAAGCAUUAAGUAUCCCACCUGGGAAGUACGACCGCAAGGUUGAAACUCAAAGGAAUUG